rnacentral:rRNA from 1 species
CAUGAAGUGAAGCAUGUAAACCCGCUGAACUUAAGCAUAU